UAGCUCAGCCGGUAGAGCAUAGGGCUUGGAAAGCCAGAGUUGUGGGUUUGAUUCCCAU
rnacentral:tRNA from 1 species